CCCGCAACGAGCGCAACCCUACUUGCCAGUUGCUACCAGGUAUGCUGGGCACUCUGGUGAGCUGCCCCGGUUAACGGGGAGGAAGUGGGACGACGUCAAGUCAUCAUGGCCCUUACGCCUAGGGCUACACACGUACUACAAUGGCGCAUACAAAGGGCAGCGAUACCGCGAGGUGGAGCCAAUCCCAAAAAGUGCGUCCCAGUCCGGAUUGCAGUCUGCAACUCGACUGCAUGAAGUUGGAAUCGCUAGUAAUUCGAGAUCAGCAUGCUCGGGUGAAUGCGUUCCCGGGCCUU
rnacentral:rRNA from 1 species